rnacentral:rRNA from 1 species
UACGGAGGGUGCAAGCGUUAUCCGGAUUCACUGGGUUAAAGGGUGCGUAGGCGGGCAUGUAAGUCAGUGGUGAAAUCUCAGAGCUUAACUCUGAAACUGCCAUUGAUACUAUGUGUCUUGAAUUUCCUGGAGGUUAGCGGAAUAUGUCAUGUAGCGGAUGAAAUGCUUAGAUAUGACAUAGAACACCGAUUGCGAAGGCAGCUGACUAACGGGUAGAUUGACGCUGAGGCACGAAAGCGUGGGGAUCAAACAGG